CAAUGGACGGUGGCCAUCUUAACUACCGAACGGCGGUCAGCGGAAUUUGGUCGUCGAGUGCCUGGAACUGUUUUCGGCAUGGCACUUGAUGAACACCCGGUCCCCCUCUGGAAGUCCCAUACGAACACCUUCUAAAUACGGCAGAAGAACGGCGUUCGGGAGUUUAAAACAGCCGAACGAGUGAAGCAUUCUCCACAAACCAGAUUGAAAAUACCUACAGUGGUUUUCAUGCAAAUUUCAUGCGAAUGAAGACCGGCUCUUGCCCUGAUUCUAUGGAACUCUGAGUCGGCUACAAUCUCGUGAAGAGACGGUCAAACUUUUACACGGUAUAACUCAAAAACUACCGAACAGAGUUUCACAAAUUUUUUAUAUGUUGCUCACAUCACCCUCAGCUACCCAGGGAUAUAUUAAUAUGUUAUGUAUAAAGUAUAUUUUUAAGACUUGUGAAAAAUUGUAACUUUUCUGGCCAGUAGAUAAUUGUGUUUGAUAAGCUGCUCAAACCCAAUUAUCUAGCCUGGCCCAGAGGAGGAGUUAUGUGUUGCAUAAAUUGAGCACCCUUGUUCCCAGUAAAACAAUCUUGUUCCAGCAUUAAGCUUUGGCUCAUGUGUGGAUUAUUCGACGAUACCAUUUAUGGGAAAAAGGGAAUGAUUGACGGGUCACAGGAUUAUACAGUCUCAACUGGUUGGCAGCAAUGAACUGGAUAAGCCCCAGUACCAAAGGGACCAAAUAUCAUAUAUAAAUGUAGAAAAGAAAUCUAGGCACUCCAAGGUGUUCCACUAAUUAGGCAAUUUUUAUUGGACCCAAGCACCAAACAACCUUUCGAUCCC